rnacentral:rRNA from 1 species
GACGAACGCUGGCGGCGUGCUUAACACAUGCAAGUCGAACGAUGAAGCGGUGCUUGCACCGUGGAUUAGUGGCGAACGGGUGAGUAAUACGUGAGUGACCUACCUUUGACUCUGGGAUAAGCCUGGGAAACUGGGUCUAAUACCGGAUACGACCAAUCUCUGCAUGGGGUGUUGGCGGAAAGCGUUAUGGAGUGGUUUUAGAUGGGCUCACGGCCUAUCAGCUUGUUGGUGAGGUAAUGGCUUACCAAGGCGACGACGGGUAGCCGGCCUGAGAGGGUGACCGGCCACACUGGGACUGAGACACGGCCCAGACUCCUACGGGAGGCAGCAGUGGGGAAUAUUGCACAAUGGGCGCAAGCCUGAUGCAGCGACGCCGCGUGAGGGAUGACGGCCUUCGGGUUGUAAACCUCUGUUAGCAUCGAAGAAGCGAAAGUGACGGUGGGUGCAGAGAAAGCGCCGGCUAACUACGUG